rnacentral:rRNA from 1 species
GGCAGCAGUGGGGAAUAUUGGACAAUGGGCGAAAGCCUAAUCCAGCCAUGCCGCGUGUGUGAAGAAGGUCUUCGGAUUGUAAAGCACUUUAAGUUGGGAGGAAGGGCAGUAAGUUAAUACCUUGCUGUUUUGACGUUACCGACAGAAUAAGCACCGGCUAACUCUGUGCCAGCAGCCGCG